CCUGACCAGCAGGUCCAGACCCAGCCCGACCAGCAGAUCGAGACCCAGCCUGACCAGCAGGUCCAGACACAGCCUGACCAGCAGAUCCACACUAAAGCUCAGCAGAUUGAUGAUGGUGUCAUUCUCAACCUCUACUUUUUGCCCUCUCCACCCCAGACUCACCCUGAAGCUCAGCAGCUCCAGAUUAAGGCUGAAGGCCAUACUCAACCCCAGCCCCAUCCUCAGCAUAAACCUAUCCUACCAAAGCCCCGUAAAAGAAAACAAGAGUCCCAACCCCCAGAGUCUCCGGUCCACCAUCAGCCCCAGAUACAGGGCCAGCCCCAGCCUCAGCAAAUUCAGCUGCUGACUGCCAAGCCAAACCCC